GACGAACGCUGGCGGCGUGCCUAAUACAUGCAAGUUGAGCGCUGAAGGUUGGUACUUGUACCAACUGGAUGAGCAGCGAACGGGUGAGUAACGCGUGGGGAAUCUGCCUUUGAGCGGGGGACAACAUUUGGAAACGAAUGCUAAUACCGCAUAAAAACUUUAAACACAAGUUUUAAGUUUGAAAGAUGCAAUUGCAUCACUCAAAGAUGAUCCCGCGUUGUAUUAGCUAGUUGGUGAGGUAAAGGCUCACCAAGGCGAUGAUACAUAGCCGACCUGAGAGGGUGAUAGGCCACAUUGGGACGGAGACACGGCCCAAACUCCUACGGGAGGCAGCAGUAGGGAAUCGUCGGCAAUGGACGAAAGUCUGACCGAGCAACGCCGCGUGAGUGAAGAAGGUUUUCGGAUCGUAAAACUCGGUUUGUAGAGAAGAACGGUGGUGAGAGGGGAAAGCGCAUCAAGUGACGGUAACUACCCAGAAAGGGACGGCUAACUACGUG
rnacentral:rRNA from 1 species